AUUGAACGCUGGCGGCAGGCCUAACACAUGCAAGUCGAGCGGAUGAGCGGAGCUUGCUCCAUGAUUCAGCGGCGGACGGGUGAGUAAUGCCUAGGAAUCUGCCUGGUAGUGGGGGACAACGUUUCGAAAGGAACGCUAAUACCGCAUACGUCCUACGGGAGAAAGCAGGGGACCUUCGGGCCUUGCGCUAUCAGAUGAGCCUAGGUCGGAUUAGCUAGUUGGUGAGGUAAAGGCUCACCAAGGCGACGAUCCGUAACUGGUCUGAGAGGAUGAUCAGUCACACUGGAACUGAGACACGGUCCAGACUCCUACGGGAGUCAGCAGUGGGGAAUAUUGGACAAUGGGCGAAAGCCUGAUCCAGCCAUGCCGCGUGUGUGAAGAAGGUCUUCGGAUUGUAAAGCACUUUAAGUUGGGAGGAAGGGCAGUAAGUUAAUACCUUGCUGUUUUGACGUUACCGACAGAAUAAGCACCGGCUAACUUCGUGCCAGCCGCCGCCGUAACAC
rnacentral:rRNA from 1 species